CAGCCGCCGCGGUAAUACGUAGGGGGCGAGCGUUGUCCGGAAUUAUUGGGCGUAAAGCGCGCGCAGGCGGUCCUUUAAGUCUGAUGUGAAAGCCCACGGCUCAACCGUGGAGGGUCAUUGGAAACUGGGGGACUUGAGUGCAGGAGAGGAGAGCGGAAUUCCACGUGUAGCGGUGAAAUGCGUAGAGAUGUGGAGGAACACCAGUGGCGAAGGCGGCUCUCUGGCCUGCAACUGACGCUGAGGCGCGAAAGCGUGGGGAGCAAACAGGAUUAGAUACCCUGGUAGUCAACGCCGUAAACGAUGAGUGCUAAGUGUUAGAGGGGUCACACCCUUUAGUGCUGUAGCUAACGCGAUAAGCACUCCGCCUGGGGAGUACGGCCGCAAGGCUGAAACUUAAAGGAAUUGGCGGG
rnacentral:rRNA from 1 species